GACGAACCGAGCGUACGUUAUUCGGAAUCACUGGGCUUAAAGGGCGCGUAGGCGGGCGAUCAAGUCAGGGGUGAAAGCCUCCAGCUCAACUGGAGAAGUGCCUCUGAUACUGGUGGCCUCGAGGGAGGUAGGGGCGUGCGGAACUUCCGGUGGAGCGGUGAAAUGCGUAGAUAUCGGAAGGAACACCGGUGGCGAAAGCGGCGCGCUGGACCUCUUCUGACGCUGAGGCGCGAAAGCCAGGGGAGCAAACGGG
rnacentral:rRNA from 1 species